rnacentral:rRNA from 1 species
UACGUAGGGGGCAAGCGUUGUCCGGAUUUAUUGGGCGUAAAGGGCUCGUAGGCGGCCAACUCAGUCGGACGUGAAAUCCCUCGGCUUAACCGGGGAACUGCUUCCGAUACUGGAUGGCUUGAGUGUGGGAGAGGGAUGCGGAAUUCCAGGUGUAGCGGUGAAAUGCGUAGAUAUCUGGAGGAACACCGGUGGCGAAGGCGGCAUCCUGGACUACUACUGACGCUGAGGAGCGAAAGCCAGGGGAGCAAAGCGGGAU